rnacentral:lncRNA from 12 species
UUAAAAGCUGCCUUAAUGACAUCUAUAGAAAAAUCAUCCAACUCAGCUUUCAUCUUCAGACAGAAGAGCAAGACAGUGAGUCAAUAUAGAUGGGGUAGUCAAACAGCACCCAAGCUUUGUCAAAGCCAGAUUAUACAUAGUGAGAGGAUCUACCUGAUGGAGAAAGACUAUAGAGCACUACUUGUUCAUGCCAGAGAAUCUCACAGAGGUAAACAUUAAUUAACUUAGUUUUUUU